UGGUGUCAACCAAGCCAGGAGAAGGAACUUUCGUCAAUAGUGAAUCCAU
rnacentral:ribozyme from 1 species